rnacentral:rRNA from 1 species
UGAAUGUAUGGCAAUAGCUGGUUGCAUUAACAAAAAGUUAGUGUAAGAUCGACUCUGUCGAAUAAAAUUCUAGAUAGAAUUAUGAUAAUGACAUUAUCUAUCUAUGUGUCUUGACCAAAUUACGUGCCAGCAGUCGCGGUAAUACGUAAAAGACUAGUGUUAUUCAUCUUUAAUAGGUUUAAAGGGUACUUAGACGGUAAAUAAAGCCCGAAUAGGGAACUAAUAUACUAGAGUUUGAUGUAAGGAAGCAUGAAAGUACUGUUGGUGUAGAGAUAAAAUUCUAUCAUACCAAAUAUGGCACAGGUUUAGGCGAAAGCAUCUUCUUAUGUAAUAACUGACGUUGAAGGACGAAGGCUUUGUGUCUCGAACAGGAUUAGAUACCCCAGUAGUCUAAGCAGACAAUGAUGAAUGUCAUAGAUUAGAUUUAAUUAAAUUUAUUCUAUAAAUGAAAGUGUAAGCAUUCCACCUCAAGAGUAAUUUGGCAACAUUGGAACUGAAAUCAUUAGACCGUUUCUGAAACCAGUAGUGAAGUAUGUUGUUUAAUUAGAAGAUACGCAAAAAACCUUACCACAAUUUGAAUUAGUAAUAUGUUUUCACAAGCGUUGCACGGCUGUCUACAGUUAAUGUCGUGAGAUUUUGGUUAGUUCCAUUAAAUUAACGC